AGCGAACGCUGGCGGCGUGCCUAAUACAUGCAAGUCGAGCGGACUUUCAUUGGUGCUUGCACCUUUGAAAGUUAGCGGCGGACGGGUGAGUAACACGUGGGUAACCUACCCUGUAGAUUGGGAUAACUCCGGGAAACCGGGGCUAAUACCGAAUAACACUUUUGAACUCAUGUUCGAAAGUUAAAAGAUGGUUUCGGCUAUCACUACAGGAUGGGCCCGCGGCGCAUUAGCUAGUUGGUGAGGUAACGGCUCACCAAGGCAACGAUGCGUAGCCGACCUGAGAGGGUGAUCGGCCACACUGGGACUGAGACACGGCCCAGACUCCUACGGGAGGCAGCAGUAGGGAAUCUUCCACAAUGGACGAAAGUCUGAUGGAGCAACGCCGCGUGAGUGAAGAAGGAUUUCGGUUCGUAAAACUCUGUUGCAAGGGAAGAACAAGUAGCGUAGUAACUGGCGCUACCUUGACGGUACCUUGUUAGAAAGCCACGGCUAACUACGUGCCAGCCGCCGCAGUAA
rnacentral:rRNA from 1 species